AUGCUGUGAUGAGCUUAAUUCAACACAUCAUUCUUACUGUGAAGUGAAGAAGCCUUUAACACUGAGCAUA